ACCCAUUGAACAAUAGUGUUUAUAAUUCAUAAUAUACUUAAAAAUUAUGGAAUAUAACAUCCGUUCGUUACACAGCAAAUCCCCGGAGCCAUAACACUUUAUGCGUCAUAACGCUCGCAACGCUACUGGGACUCGUAUAUUUCAACGCUAACGUCAGAUAAAUUGAUUUUCUUUACAAAAAAUCACGAUCGAGGUAUAUCUUACCGCCAUUAGAUGUAUCGUGACUACAACAGAAUUGCUCGUAAAUCAACUUAAAUGUAUAUUGAUGGGGAUUUGAAUAAUACAUUAUUUUGUAAAUGAUUCUCGCACAACGUCCGCUCGCUUCGCGGGCCUCUUCCCAUCCUAUUGGACUGGUGUUUAUCUUCAAUCUUCAGUGCGCAUCAUUCUGUGUACAAAUUCAAAUAUAUGAGUAAGGGGGAGUCUCCACCCAUCCUAAGAGUUACUGUGGAAGUCGCACUAGUGUUGCCCUACGGAGCAGACUCACGUCGUCCCACCGCGACGCACCACGACGCCAAUACAAAUUAAUUUUCAAUCUGAAGUUGUUUGUUUUCUAAUCUGAUGUAGAUGAAUCUAUUCAAAUUGACUCCGUUGGAUCAUUUAGCGUACAUUGUUAAUAAUUUUUGUAUACUUAAUACAAGAAAAUCAGAUUCAUUAUUUAUUAUCUUGACUAGAUUAUUAGUUCGAAAACAAACACCAAAUACAUAUAAGUUUUUUACAUCAGCCCAAGGGGACACAACGGGGUUUUGAGGCCGGAGAUAAGACUUCGUCUUCGCACCGGGAAAUCUAUUUAAUCUUCUUCUGAGUCGGUGGUUUCGUUGUUGAAGGUCGUGUCUAAUUUGAAAUGUUGAGCACUCGAUGCACAAUGCUUCCCCACGUCUUCCUGUCCUCGGCAGUCUUUAUAGCCUCGGUUAUUGGCAGGUCGGUGAGCGUCUUUGCCAGAUCAGACCAGCGGGUAGGUGAGCGUCCGCGUGAUCUUCUCCCGUCAACCUGACCGACUACCAUCAGCUUCUCUAAGUUAUCGGGGCCUCUACGCGCGAUGUGGCCGAAGUAAGUGAGAAUACGUUGGAAGCAGAUAGCGGACAGCCUUGUGCCAAUACCGAGAUCCUUCAGAAUGGUUAGUUUUGUCCGGCGUGCCGUCCAUGGAAUUCGCAACAUCCGUCUCCAACACCACAUUUCAAAAGCUUCGACCUUUGCCCUCUCACUUCGUCUUAUCAUCCAGGAAUCGGCACCCGGUCACCGUCCUCGUCGAACACGUCGCUUGCGACGAAGGGCUCGACGAGCGAAUUAACCCAUAGACAGCCCACUGAGUUUCUCGCCGGAUCUUCUCAGUGGGUCGCGUUUCCGAUCCGGCGGUAGAUUCUGCGAAGCACUGCCUUGCUAGGGUCAGUGUUAGUAUCACUUCGGUUUGAGCCCCGUGAGCUCACCUACCAGCUAAGGUAACGCUGAAAUAGCCUCUCAAGGCUAUCAGCUUGGGUAGGGAGAAAAAAAAAAGAUUCGGCACCGUAAAGGAAAAUUGAGAAGACCAAUGCACGUACCAGCCUCACUUUGGUUUUGCGGGAUAUAUUGGGGUCUUUCCCUAUCCUAGUGAGGUCAGUCAUUGCUCCGUUGGACAUUUGGAUUCUUCUAGCUAUCUCCUUUCCGCUGCCAACCUCGUCACAAAAAAGAGAGCCAAGAUAAAUGAACUGGUCAACAAAUUCCAAGUCAUGAAGUUCAUUAGAGCGAAUAAGCAUACCAGGUCUGUCCACCAUCAAUACCUUGGUCUUCGCGUUAUUAAUGGUAAGGCCAACUAAUUCACUCUCCUCCGCCACCCUAGUAAAGAGUUGGGCUAGUUUUUGUUCGGAUGAUGCGAGCAGUGUGGUGUCAUCUGCAUAACGGAGGUUACUGAUUUUCCUGCCGCAAAUGGACGCUCCAUCCUCAAAUCACUGCAUUUAAGGCUCGUCUCAUAAUGAAGGCGCUCGUUUAUCACGUACAGUAGGAUCUUGGUUGCAUGGGGUAUGAGUGCUACAGUCCUGUAGCUACUACAGGACUUGGAUGAACCCUUCUUAUGCAGAGGUAUUAAAAUAGAUUCCUGCCAUUCCCUAAUCCAUUCGCCGUUACUCUGUAUUUGAUUGCGUAAGUGACGUAUAGGUAUUAUUCUUUAUAUUAAUACGUGAAGCAAAAACGUUCUACGAUAAUUGCGUGGACGGAGGAGAAUGAGAUUUUCCACACUUAUAGAGAACAUAGACCAGUAGUGCAGAAUACAAUUUUUUUUUAUCACGAAUAAAAAAAUUUUUUUUUAAUAAGUUUGAAUUAAAAAUAGUGUAAGAAAAUUAAAAAGCGUGGGGUUACUUUUCAGGAUAUUAUCAAAAUAACCCUUCUACUCAUAUCUGUUCAUAAAAUAUUUAUAACUACUGAUACCAUGCACCCCACGCUUUUUUCAUAAAAAAAUAAUAAUAUUGAAUUGUCAUCGGUCCUUAAUAAGUAUACCAAAUUUAGUUAAUCCGAGGUUUUGAAGGGGGCCAAAAUCAUGUUCAAAGAUUCCGACACAAACAUACACACGUCUGAAGCUAAUCAAAGCGUAUUAAAGUACAUUAAAUCAAUAAAAAAAACAUUACACAAACUACCAUGUAUUUGACAAACACACACACGCAUAUACACUCUUUUGUUUAUUGUUAAAGUUUGUGGUCAAAUUGAGAAUAGAUUAAUAUUGUUUGUCUAUAUUAUUUGUCUAUACUCGUAGUGUAGCCUUGGCGACAUCUGUGAAUAUAGAACAAUGAUGAUUAUAGAAAUGUGAUAAUAGAACCAUAAUAAUGUAAAAACUUAUAAUUUCAAUUAAUUAUGUAUAAUAAAUCCAAUCUUUCCCAGCAUAUCGCCACAAGUCAUCCGUCCACCGGACAGGGGGACGCCCAACGCUGCGCUUACCGGGUAAAUAAAACGAGCAGAAAGUCUGUUCGUUGGUAAGCACGAGCCGCGAGCCGCUGUGUCUGUCGCCACUAAUAUUGCGUUUCGUCGAGGACCGACCGCCGAGAGCAUCAUGCAACCACUCCUCAUUGCGCCACGCUAGUCUGCCAUCGACAGUAACAAUGCGAAAUUAUUCUUCCCAUAUUGGUUUUAGUGUUGAAAAUAAAUGAUGAAAACCAA